UUUUUUUUUGUUUUUUCAGUGCGUUUAAGUUAAUAGUUAUUAUGUUUUUGCACUGUUUAAAACAAAAAAAUGCAUAAAAAAUAUAAUGAACACAUUAUUAUUCUGGGUCAAAUUGAACCAACGAGAUAUUUUAUUCAGGAUUUAUUAUGUGUUUUGCAUGAUGAACUUAUUUAAGCAUCAAAUAAUGAUAUUGUUUUUUUAUGUUGAUGCUUAAAUUAAUAAUGACAUGACCCUAAUUUUAUUUCGGACCAACGUUGUUUUAUUAUUAUGAGUCAUCACUUAUGAUAUUUUAAUUCCAUGUUUUUUCUGCCCAACGGUGUUUUGACAUGGAGUUGAAAUUAAAUACUUGACAUGUUUGUUUAUUUACCAACGUAAAUUUAUAAUCAUGCAAGUUUACUUAUGAACUUUUAUGAUGAUUUCAGCUUCCGCUCCAUUCCGGUCCGACAGGAUCGAACCACUUACGGGGAGUAACUUCCCUCGUUGGAAGUCCCAAGUCGAAUUAUGUUUGGGUUGUAAUGAAUUUGACUAUGCCUUGAGGGAAGAAAAACCUGUGGCACCUGUGGCAGGUGUCACAGGGUAUGCAGAACUCAAGAAGGAGUAUGAUGUUAAGAUGGAAAAGUGGAAUAAGUCCAACCAUAUUGCGCUUCUCAUCAUGAAAGCGACAAUAUCGCCGGACAUUUCUGAAGCACUCCCUAAGAAAGAUACUGCUAAAGAUUUCCUCACUGAAAUGGAGGAGCAAUUUAAAGGCUCCGACAAAGUGUAUGCUCAUGAGCUUUUUGCUAAACUUCUUCAGAAAUACACUAUUGACGGAAAUGUUAGGCAGCACAUAUUGAGGGUGGUAAAUGCUUUCACCAAGCUUAAGGCUUUGGAGUGUUCUUUAAGUGAAGCCCUUCUUGUCAUAAUUAUUCUUGAGUCUCUUUCUGAAGAGUUUGAACAAUUUAAGGUCAACUAUAACUCUCUAAAGGAAAAAUGGCCACUCUCUGAGAUGACCGCAAGGAUCGUCCAGGAGGAAGAAAGGAUCAUGAGGCAGAAGAAAGACCAUGUCUUUCAUGUUGGCUCUAAUAAGAGAAAGCAUGACGGACAAGGUUUCCCUAAGCCUCAGAAAAGGCAAGUCAAGAAAGAAGGCACUAAGCCAUUCAACCCUAAGGCAUUCAAGGGUAAAGAAGCCGGUGGUUCUUCUUCUGCUCCUAGCAGCUCCACUGCUGGAGAAAAUGCUUGUAACUUCUGCAAAGAGGAGGGACACUAUCAAAGGGACUGCCCAGGCUUUCUAAAAUGGAUGAACAAAAGAGGUAUUGAUGAAAUUACUUUUGUAGAUGAAUCUCUUUAUGUCGAUUUUUCUAUAAAGUCAUGGUGGAUUGAUUCAGGGGCAACCACUCACGUUGCCAACUCUAUGCAGGGAUUUGAUACGAUCCAAACUAUAAGAGGAGGAACAAGAAAGCUUAAGGUUGCGAACGGAGUUGAGGCCGAUGUUGAAGUUGUGGGAUCUCUCACGUUGGAGCUACACACUAGCCACACUCUUAGAUUGAAUAAUGUUCUUUAUGUGCCUACCUUAAGUAGGAAUUUGAUUUCAGUUUCUUGUUUAGAUGAUGAUAUGUAUGAGUGCCAUUUUGGCAAGAAACAAUUUGUUUUGAUCAAAUGUAAUAAGAAUGUAGGCAUCGGUGUUAGACGAGGCCAACUAUACAUGUUAUCUCUUAAUAAUGAUUCAGUUAUGCAUGUGAGUGAUGCAAUUAAUGUUGAGAAGAAAUGGAAAGGAGUUAGUAAUUCUUUGAAAUUGUGGCAUUGUCGUUUGGGCCACAUUUCGAGGGGGAGAAUGGAACGCUUAGUUAAAAAUGAAAUUCUCCUUCCAUUAGACUUCUCAGAUGCAGACAAAUGUGUCGACUGCAUUAAAGGAAAAUUCGCAAAAACAAUUAAGAAAUGAGCAGUAAGAGCCACAGGGGUUUUAGAAUUAAUUCACACCGACAUAUGUGGACCCCUUAAUGUUAAGUCUGUAGAUGGUUUUGAUUCAUUCAUUACAUUCACAGACGAUUUUUCCCGCUAUGGAUAUAUUUAUCCCAUACGUGACCGAUCGGAAGCUUUGGAUAAAUUCAAAGUCUAUAAAGCGGAGGUUGAAAAUCAACUGAACGCAAAAAUCAAAGUUGUACGGUCUGAUCGCGGGGGAGAGUAUUAUGGUAGGCAUGCUCCUUAUGGGCAGAUUCCUGGACCUUUUGCCAAGUUCUUAUCUGCAAAUGGAAUCAUUGCUCAGUACUCAAUGCCUGGUGAACCACAACAAAAUGGUGUGGCCGAGCGCCGCAACCGCACCCUUAUGGAUAUGGUGCGAAGCAUGCUUAGUCAAGCAUGCUUAGUCACUCUAGUUUACCAGUAAGCCUUUGGAUAGAGGCAUUAAAGACAUCUGCACAUAUACUAAAUCUUGCUCCAACUAAGUCAGCACCGAACACACCUUACGAGAUGUGGGCGGGAAAGAAACCGAGCUUGAAUUACUUACGGGUGUGGGGUUGCCCUGCUGAAGCUAAAGUUUUCAAUCCACAACUUAAGAAACUGGAUCCAAAAACAGUUAGCUGUUUCUUCGUUGGAUACCCUCAUAGGGGAAAGGGAUAUCGUUUUUAUUGUCCAAGACACACCACCAAGUUUGUGGAGACUAGACAAGCGGUAUUUUUUGAGGACAAUGAGGUCACAAAUUUAAGGGAGAUCAAUCUUGAGGAGAAGCGGGUUUGUGUACCAUCCCCGACUAUCCAAGAGAUUGUUUUUCCAAUACGAAGAAAUGUGACAUCUGAUGAUCCUGAAUCUCACGGUUCAGUCUCUCAGUCAAAUGGUGAUCCAGAAACUAAUAAUGAGAAUCCAAACACAAAUGAGGAUCUCCGAGAAAAUAAUGAAAAUGAUGAUGUUCCACCACCACCUCCGCCCAUGGGUAGACCACGGCGUGAGAGGAAGAAAGCCAUAUCAGAUGAUUAUAUCACUUUUUUGAUGGAGGACAUGAAUGAUAUGGGAAAGGUGGAGGAUCCAACCUCAUAUAAGGAAGCCAUUAAAAGCGAAAAUUCGUCCAAAUGGUUGGUUGCCAUGGAAGACGAGUUGAAAUCUAUGGGCUCAAACGACGUAUGGGACUUAGUAGAAGUUCCCGAUGGAGCUAAGAAAGUAGGCUGCAAGAGGGUCUACAAAACCAAGUAUGAUUCCAAAGGGAAUGUCGAACGGUUCAAGGCAAGGCUAGUGGCAAAAGGGUAUACACAGAGAGAAGGCAUUGAUUAUAAGCAAACCUUCUCCCCUGUGUCAACCAAGGAUUCUUUCAGAAUCAUAAUGGCAUUAGUAGCUCAUUACGACCUAGAACUACACCAAAUGGAUGUUAAAACGGCAUUUCUAAAUGGUGACUUAAAAGAAGAUGUUUACAUGGCUCAGCCAGAAGGCUUUGUUGUGGAAGGAAAGGAACAUUUAGCAUGUCGUCUAAAGAAAUCAAUUUAUGGCUUGAAGCAAGCUUCAAGAGAGUGGUACCUCAAGUUUGAUAAAAUUAUCAAAACUUUUGGUUUCACCGAAAAUGUUGUGGACAACUGCAUAUACGUUAAGUUUAAAGGCAGUAGGUUCACAUUUUUAGUCCUAUACGUUGAUGACAUAUUAUUGGCAUGUAGCGAUAAGGAUAUGCUACAUGAGACCAAGAAUUUUCUGUCAUCCAGUUUUUAUAUGAAAGAUCUUGGUGAAGCCUCGUAUGUCCUCGGCAUCGAGAUUCAUCGAGAUAGGUCCAGAGGAACGUUAGGACUAUCUCAAAAGGCAUACUUUGAGAGAGUACUGAAAAAAAUUCAAUAUGUAUAAGUGCUCACCCUCACCUGCUCCUAUAGUUAAGGGCGAUAAGUUUGGGACAUUUCAAUGUCCGAGGAACCAAUGCGAAACUGAUCAGAUGAAGUCGGUUCCUUAUGCUUCAGCUGUUGGAAGCAUCAUGUAUGCUCAAGUAUGUACACGCCCAGACUUAUGUUUUGUAACCGGGGUGCUUGGCAGAUACCAAUCCAAUCCAGGACCGGACCACUGGAAGGCCGCAAAGAAAGUCUUGCGUUAUAUGCAAGGAACUAAGGAUUUCAUGCUUACAUAUAAAAAAACUGAUAACCUCGAAAUUGUUGGUUAUUCAGACUCUGAUUUUGCCGGGUGCGUGGAUAGUAUGAGAUCCACGCCAGGUUAUAUAUUCACACUCGCGGGAGGAGCUAUAUCGUGGAAAAGCUCCAAACAAACGUUAACUGCUGGAUCUACGAUGCAGGCAGAAUUUGUAGCAUGUUAUGAGGCCACCGGGCAGGCUGUAUGGCUAAAGAAUUUUAUACCCGGACUUAAAGUGGUUGACAGCAUAUCUAAACCAAUUUUAUUGUACUGCGAUAAUGAACCAGCAGUUUUCUAUACGAGUAACAACAGGUCAAGUAAUGCUGCCAGACACAUUGACAUAAAGUAUCGUGUUGUGAAAGAUAGAAUUCAGGAUCAAACAGUUGAUGUUAAACAUAUAAGAACGAAGCAUAUGAUUGCGGAUCCGCUAACAAAAGGCUUACCACCCAGUAUUUUUCGUGAGCAUGUUGCCGGCAUGGGACUACUGGAGGCCUGAUGAUUCUGGAAUAAGAGGACCAUUAAAAUAAACCACUCCCCAAUUAGCAAAAUGUUUUCCAUUUCGAAAUAGGCGGGUGUACUAUACUGUGGCGUUUCAAGCUGUUGUAACACCUCACUUUGGUACAUCAUUCCUAUGUAGAAUGGGCGAAUGAAGUUAAGCCUAACGAUCAAGGGGGAGAAUGUUGGUUUUGAUCUGACGGCUUAAACAGGCCAGUUAGAUCUAUUAGUUUAACAGAAAAAAAAGAGAAAGAUAACGUUAAUGAAAAGGCCCCACGCACCAACGUACGUGAGGUUUUUAUCCCAACUAAGGCGCCCUGAUCGGGGGCACCCAAACCAACUGAUGGUUUAGGUCCCCUGUCGCCAGCGCUACAUAAAAGGGAACGAGAGAGGGUUGGCAGCCUGCGUGAUCACAAUUCUCGUACGGUUUCACUCCCCUCCCGAUAUUCUCUCACCCCAUCCGAUCAGGGGGAGCGCUGCAGCGACGGGAAGACCUACUCCAGCCGCCGCUCCCGUCCCCGGGCAGUGCCGGUGGCGUCCUGAGGGCAUCAGGACGUUGAGGAGGACUUCUACCUCGACUACAUCACCUCUGCAUCAAGCCUGCACCAAGCAGGCGAUCAUGUCCACUGCCGUGACACGUAAUGAUCCCCUAAACCCUUCUCUGUUCAUGUUUUAGGUGAUCUAGAUGCAAUCUGUUCCUGCUAAUGGCAUUCCAGAGAUGCAUAAUUAUUCCAACAACCCCAAGUUUUAUAUCCGAAGCAAGUUUUCAAGAAACUGCUCAAGUUUUAGCAAAAACUGCCCUACAAGGUCGUAUUGAUUGGUUGAAAGGCUUGAAAGAAACGUGGUUCCAGGGGAUUAUACCUGUUGGUACCGGAUUUUAAAAAAUUAUGCACCGUUCCGCACAAGACAAGAACCUUUAUUUCGUAACAAUUAUAAGGUGGUAAGGAAACGGAUUCCCGGAGGAUCAGAGUGGUCAUGAUCAGUUUGUUAAGUAGGAACAAGUGGUCACAACCACCACACUCAAAUCUCCAGCUUUCAACGUGUCAAUGCGCACGAAGAAGCCCACACCGCCAUUGAUACGCCCAGUUGACUUCUAUCGGAGCCGAGAGCAACAGCAAACCAGAUCGAAAACUGAUCAAUCUUGAGCUCGCCAUUGCCGCAGCUCCCACGUGCUCCGAAGGUCUCACUUGACAGUGGCACCGGUGGGGUUGUUGUACCCGUCCGUGCCAGUGCCACAUACAGAGACCGAACUGACCGCUCCAUAUGCUCUCACCGUCUCAAGCUUAAUUGCUGGUCGUGUAGGGUGCCCAUGCGCUCGAGAUAUGUGGCUGAUUUGGUGCGAGCUUUUUGCUCGGGUCUUUGUUGCCGCUGCUGCUACUUUCCUGUCAGGAAUGCGAGGAAUAGAGCUCCUUUCUGAUGCUGGAGAGGGAUGGAUGCGUGCGGCCUGUCGGCCGUUAUUGUUGCUGGAUUGUUCAGUGUUUGGUUGAGAGAAGAAUCGGAGAAACGACUCUACAGUGAUAUGGUUUGCUGCUGUUGCUGCUAAUCGUACUAAACCAGCAUUCGAUCAGUCAUUGGUGAAUUGGAUGAGGCUGUCAAGUUUAUCAUCUUGAUACGUCUGACAAAUAAACUUGUUUGUCAACUCGGGUGACGAGCUAGCAUCACUAUAUCAGCGUCUGACAAAAUAAACAUGCAGUUAUAUGCGUUAAUCAGAAGGCUCUGCGGACUCGUAUUGUCGGCAGCUCAGCAGCAUACGCAGCAACUUUUCGCCUUUUCUGGACAUAAAUCAUCACCUUCUCCAUAAACUUGAAACUGACAUCAAACGGCAGCGAAUUUGUGGUCAAGUAGACCAGACACCCCGACAUAGACUUUGAAUUUCUGCCUUGCGCCAACCUUCCAUUCAUUAGAGGAAUUAGACAGGACUGACCGACACCUCCAAUUGGCAGGAGAGAAGGCAUGGCAUUCUGACCCCAUGAACAAAGACGUCGAACAACACACAACAAGUGGACAAAAGCAUCUCGAGGAUAGAUGUAGUACUACGAGGUGGAUAUUACAGAUUUACAGGGAGCAUCCUAGGUAUUGAACUAAAACCACGACGAGUAAAUCGGAACGGAGGGAGUACGUAAUAUGAACAUAGGAUGGCUGCAUUCCCCUAACUACGGGCUACUCGAGAAGACACAAAACAAAGCCCGUAUAUCUACAAAAGACUGACUGAUUGGGGAGGUACAAAGGGUCACAGAAAGGUCAAAAUAUAACUAACACCACGAGCCAUGGAAACUUGGAAAGUAGGGGUCCUCCUUGUUCUCAUACUACUGUAUAUCCCAAACAACCACGGGGAGCGCGUCUCCAUAUCAUGAAUAGUCUUCUUAAGCGGUCCAAAAGCAUCAUCAUCCAGAAGAAAGCCCUGCCAUGCACUAACCCUAAACAAGAAAACAAAUUGCUGC
rnacentral:lncRNA from 1 species